GACGAACGCUGGCGGCGUGCUUAACACAUGCCAGUCGAACGGAAAGGCCUCUUUCGGGGGGUACUCGAGUGGCGAACGGGUGAGUAACACGUGAGUAACCUGCCCUUGACUUUGGGAUAACUUCAGGAAACUGGGGCUAAUACCGGAUAGGAGCUCCUGCUGCAUGGUGGGGGUUGGAAAGUUUCGGCGGUUGGGGAUGGACUCGCGGCUUAUCAGCUUGUUGGUGGGGUAGUGGCUUACCAAGGCUUUGACGGGUAGCCGGCCUGAGAGGGUGACCGGCCACAUUGGGACUGGGAUACGGCCCAGACUCCUACGGGAGGCAGCAGUGGGGAAUAUUGCACAAUGGGUGGAAGCCUGAUGCAGCAACGCCGGGGGCGGGAUGACGGCCUUCGGGUUGUAAACCGCUUUCGCUCAUGACGAAGCUUUGUGUGACGGUAGUGGGUAAAGAAGCACCGGCUAACUACGUG
rnacentral:rRNA from 1 species